CUACGGGACGCUGCAGUGGGGAAUAUUGGACAAUGGGGGAAACCCUGAUCCAGCAAUGCCGCGUGUGUGAAGAAGGCCUUAGGGUUGUAAAGCACUUUCACCCGUGAAGAUGAUGACGGUAGCGGGAGAGGAAGCCCCGGCUAACUCCGUGCCAACAGCCACGGUAAUACGGAGGGGGCUAGCGUUGUUCGGAAUUACUGGGCGUAAAGCGCGCGUAGGCGGCGCAUCGAGUUAGGCGUGAAAGGCCUGGGCUUAACCUGGGAACUGCGCUUAAUACUGGUGUGCUUGAGUCCGGAAGGGGGUGGCGGAAUUCCCAGUGUAGAGGUGAAAUUCGUAGAUAUUGGGAAGAACACCGGUGGCGAAGGCGGCCACCUGGUCCGGAACUGACGCUGAGGUGCGAAAGCGUGGGGAGCAAACAGGAUUAGAUACCCCCGUAGUC
rnacentral:rRNA from 1 species